rnacentral:rRNA from 1 species
AGGAUCCGUUGUUGAAGUUUUGACUAUUAGUAAUAAUCUGGUGUGACAAGUUGAUAAAAAAUUGGUUGUAAGUUUAGACCUCUGGCGGCAGGCUGGGCCCACCGCCAAAGCAAGUUUGUUUCAAAGAAAAACACAUGUGGUGCAAUUAAGCAAAUCAGUAAUGAUCCUUCCGCAGGUUCACCUACGGAAAUCGAAUUCCCGCUGCCACC